rnacentral:misc_RNA from 1 species
AAAGUCGUAACAAGGUCUUCGUAGGUGAACCUGCGAAGGGAUCAUUAACACGUUCCAAACCUAUUAUCAACCCAUCUGUGAACUUUUGUUACCGCCGAAUGGCUGGCGACAAGUGCAUGGCGCAUACGAUCGACUCAAUGAUGAGGCGUAUGGACAUCUAUCCUUACGCCUGGUCUAGUAGUAUGCCUCGUGCCCCUCUUUGUGGGCAGCUGUCCUUGUCGUCUAGUCCGGCCACUAUAUAUGUGCUUCGAGCGGUCGUCAUCUGCCGUUCGGCUCGCAUAUCACACACGCCCUGCGACUCGCCCGUAACAACAGCGAAUCGCACUACAUCAAUUUAUCCAACACAUGAUUGCUACGUCGACGCUCAGUCGAUGUACGCGAGAAUAUAAACUAAACAGUGAACAACUCUUAGCAAUGGAUAUCUUGGUUCUC